AAAACAAACACAAUUUUUAAAAUAAUUUUAUACAUCCCAAGCUGUCCUUCAAGAUAUGAUUGCUGAAGGAAAAGACUGGCAGGACAGGAGAAGAGCUAUCAAUCUCCAUCACAUCCCUGACCCCAACUUGCUACACUAGAGACUACAGGAAGUUUCCCCUUGGAUGAGAUCUGGAACCCUUUUUCUUGAUUGAGCUGAGUAUCUUACUGCCUUUAGCAGAGCCUUUUCAUUCUCUUGUCUUAUGUAUCUCUUCCU
rnacentral:lncRNA from 1 species